AAAUGCACAUCUUUUCUGAAUUGUUUCUUCUGUAAAAUAAAUGUUUUUCAUAUCUUUAUACGUAAACACAUUCUUUUAACUAAACUUGAUGUGCGUCAUAUAAAUAGACAAAAAUGAUCUAAGAAGAGAAAUAAAAGUGCCAGUGAAAGUUUUGAAAAGAUGAAACAUAGCAUUACGUAAAUGUUGGAAAACAACUAUUCCUCAGUGAGGCUGCGAAUCUAGCUUUUCCUCUGCAGAACCUGUCUCUUACCUGAGGUUCAUCCCAAAGAGCCAUGAUCUUCCCGACAUCAUGAAUCAGACCCACCAAGUGGAACCAGUCUGGAGGAGGGACAGUGAAUAUUAAUACAGUUAUUUACCAAAAAUGCUUGUACAACGAGUAUUUGUGUGUUUGUCUGUCUCUCCCUGUGUGGUACCUUUGUCAGGGUGGGCUUCGCGGAUGCCUUCUGCGGUCUGGAAGGCGUGAAAGGAGUUGGGGAAGUCCACGUCAGGGUCGGACUCAUCCACCACCUGGUCCAGGGACAUGACGGCGUCCAGUAUCCCCAUCUGACUGUGGGUGCAGCCGGUCCACUCACAGUGCUGCAGGGAGACAAGCAGACUUACUUGGCUUGGUCCAACAAUGAAAUCUGAUUGGCUGAUUGGAUUCGAAGAUGUGAGGACCCACCUGCUAAAAAGGCCGAGUCUUAACCCUGAAACAGCCUUUGAUUGAGAGUCAGAAACAGGAUGGGACGGACCGCUCUGGACCCAGGGUCUCCUCAGAAGGGUUAUCCGCACACAAGGAGCGAGUUCACCCAAAGGCUGGACCAUCCCGUACGUGGCUGCCCUCCAGGGGGGACCAGGAGAGGGACAUGAUCCAAUAAACCGCCAUAAGUAACCUGUGAAAUAUGUGAAAAUUUGCAAACUAGCAAGAGUGUUGUGGAUAUUUACAUUAGUCACACCUAGCCUGUCCAUGGAACAGAGGUGAAGUUGAUAGUGUCUAGUCUGCACAACAGAGGUGAACGUAAAAGGUAAAUUUUAAAAGGUACGCUGAGUUCUGGGAAUCUCCAGGGAUAAACUAGGCUUGUGUCUGCAAGGGAAAGAAAAUAUUGUUUUUCCUAUCGAAUCACUGUCAAUGUGUGUCAACCAAAAAGAUACUGAUAAAAUAAAAAGGACAGCACAUAAAAACUUAAAGUAAAGGGAGUUGAUUUGCAUCGUGGGUAAUGUAGGUUUUAUAUAAGGAAGAAUGUUUUACAUUAAAGUGGUUAAAAAACAUCAAACAUUACCUUAAGUCUGACACUUAAGGUUUAAUGUCUUAAUGUUUUUUUUAUUUGAUUGACACACUAUUAAUCUUGGCUAAAACUCAUACUCUCUCUCUCUCUCUCUCUCUCUCUCUCUCUCUCUCUCUCUUUAUCUCUCUCUUACUCUCUCUCACACACACACACACACACACAGGCAAAUGAGAGUAAAGAAAAGGUUGAGUGAAAAGUCCAAUGCCAUAGAAUUUGUCAAGGCCAACACAACAUUACAUACCUGCGUGUGUGUGGUAGCCAAGAUGAAUAAUCAUUAUCACUACAAUGUUGUGAGACCAAUUUUCCAGUCGUAAAUUCAGUGUACAUUAACAUAAAAUAGGUCACAUUUGCUAGAGCAAACAGAUAAAACACAUGUGAAAGUUUGACUGGGUUUUUAUUACACAAGGCUGCUAUUGUAUAAACAAAGAGAGAUGAACAGUAUCACAGGCGGUUCAGAG